UAAUGACUUACAACUUUCAGCGGUGGAUGUCUAGGUUCCCACAACGAUGAAGAACGCAGCGAAAUGCGAUACGUAAUGCGAAUUGCAAGACCUCGUGAAUCAUUAAGAUUUUGAACGCACAUUGCGCUUUCAGGAUUUUCCUGAUAGCAUGCUUGUCUGAGUGUCUGUGGAU
rnacentral:rRNA from 1 species